GAUGAACGCUGGCGGCGUGCCUAAUACAUGCAAGUCGAACGAACAGACGAUAGUGCUGGCACUCGCUGACGUGAGCGGCGGGCGAGUGAGUAGCACGUGAGUAACCUACCUAUUAGGCUUGGAUUACUUCGGGAAAGCGGAACUAAGACCGGAUAAUAUUGAGGUUCGGAUGGAGCAGGAGAGUAUGAGCGGUCUGGUGUGGCUUAGAGAUUUACCCGCUGUGUAUUAGCGAGUUGGCGUGGUAACGGCUCACCAAGGCACCGAUAGAUAGCCGACCUGGGAGGGUGAUCGGCCACACUGGGACUGAGACACGGCCCAGACUCCUACGGGAGGCAGCAGUAGGGAAUCUUACGCAAUGGUCGAAAGUCUGACGGAGCAAUGCCGAGCGAGUGAAGAAGGUUUUCGGAUCGUAAAACUCUGUUGUAAGGGAAGAACAAGUACGUUAGUAACUGAACGUACAUUGACGGUACCUUAUAAGAAAGCCACGGCUAACUACGUG
rnacentral:rRNA from 1 species